AGUUGUGUGUUGUGUGACUGCUUAUGGCGGCCCUAUGAAGAAUGGCGGCCUGGACUGUAGAAUAAAUGCCAUUUGACACCACUUUAACUGCCAUGGCUCGAUGCUGUGGAAUCCUGGGAGUUGUAGUUUGGUGAGGCACCAAAGAAGAGAAGGCUGAAGACUGCAAAACUACAGCUCCCAUGAUUUCAUGGCAUUGAGUCAGGUCAGUUAUAGGCCCUUUAUACACUGACAUAUAAAAUCUAGAUUACUUGCUAGCGUCCAGAGGAGGGCGACUAAAAUGAUUAAGGGUCUGGAGAACAAGCCCUAUGAGGAGCGGCUUAAAGAGCUGGGCAUGUUUAGCCUGCAGAAGAGAAGACUGAGAGGAGACAUGAGAGCCAUGUACAAAUACGUGAAGGGAAGUCAUAGGGAAGAGGGAGCAAGCUUGUUUUCUGCUGCCCUGCAGACUAGGACGCGGAACAAUGGCUUCAAACUACAGGAAAGAAGAUUCCACCUGAACUUCAGGAAGACCAGUUAGCUGCCUUAAAUCACUCUGACCAUGAGGUCAUGAGUUCGAGGCCAGCCCGCGGCGGGGUGAGCACCCGUCAAUUAAAAAUAAAAAAUAGCCCCUGCUCGUUGCUGACCUAGCAACCCGAAAGAUAGUUACAUCUAUCAAGUAGGAGAUAAGGUACCACUUAUAAAGUGGGGAGGCAAGAUUAACUAAUUUACGACCUGGAAUGAGGAAGUGCCAUCAGUGUGGAUGAUGAAGCAGCUGCUCCCCCCUGUGGCCAGAAUCGAACAUCCCCUCAGGAGAAGGUUAAAUUGCCUCUGCGUGUGUCUCUCAGUCUCUGUUUGAUGUGUUUAUGGGCAUUGAAUGUUUGCCCUAUGUGUGUAUAAUGUGAUCCGCCCUGAGUCCCCUUCGGGGUGAGAAGGGCGGAAUAUAAAUACUGUAAAUAAAUAAAUAAAUAAGAACUUCCUCACUGUGAGAGCUGUUCGACAGUGGAACUCUCUCCCCGGGGCCGUGGUGGAGGCUCCUUCCUUGGAGGCUUUUAAGCAGAGGCUGGAUGGCCAUCUGUCGGGGGUGCUUUGAAUGCGAUUUCCUGCUUCUUAGCAGGGGGUUGGACUAGAUGGCCCAUGUGGUCUCUUCCAACUCUACUAUUCUAUGAUUCUAUGAUUCUAUGCUUUGAGUGGGUUUAUAUGUCAGUAUAGAUUUACAAUCCAGUUCAAAGCAGAUAGUGUGAAGCGUCUGUUUUGAUAAUCUGGAUUAUGUUGGCCAUAUUGGUGUCAGACUGCAUUAAUUCUACAGUAUAGAUGCGCCCAGAGUAUCUCGCCCCAAGAGAAACUUGAACUGCUAAUAGUAAGAGGCAGUAUAAUAAUAAUAUGCUAAUGGUAAGUGGCAGUAUAGUAGUAAUAUACUAAUAGAGGCAGUAUUAUAAUAAUAUACUAAUGGAAAGAGGCAGAAUAAUAAUUACUAAUAGUAAGAAAAUAUGUAAUCAUAAUAAUAUACUAAUAACAUUGGGUAACACUUUUGUUCCUGAGUUAUUUGUUCCUGGAUUCUAUGAUUCUGUGUUUUUCAAUGUGUGUUGUAUUUUCUUUGCCAUGUUUUAAUGUGGCAUUGAAUUAUUGCUAAUUUGGAAGCCGCUCUGAGCCCCUUUUGGGGUUGAGAUAGAGCGGGGUUAAAAUACAGUAAAUAACUGCAGUUUCAUAGAAUAAUAGAGUUGGAAGAGACCACAUGGUCCAUCUAUUCCAACCCUCUGCCAUGCAGGAAAAGGACAAUCAAAGUAUCCCUGACAGAUGGCCACCCAACCUCUGUUUAAAAGUUUCCAAGGAAGGAUAUUCCACCACACUCUUGAGGAAGAGAGUUCCACUGUUGAACAGCUCAUGCAGUCAUGAAGUUCAGGUGGAAUCUCCUUUCUUGUAAUUUGAACCCAUUGCUCUGAAUCCUAGUUUCAAGGGCAGCAGAAAACAAGCCUGGCCCAUCUUCCUCAUGACACCCUUUCACAUAUUUAUACAUGGCUAUCAUGUCUCCUCUUAACCACCUCUGCAGGCUAAACAUACCCAGUUCUUUAAGAUGCUUAUCAUAGGGCAUGGUCUCGAGACCUUUGAUAAUUUUAGUCAUCCUCCUCUGGACACCUUCCAGCUUCUCAAUAUCUCUUGAACUGUAGUGCCCAGAAUUGGACACAUUAUUCCUGGUGAGGUCUAACCAAAGCAGAAUACAAAGGCACCAUGACUUCCCUCAAUCUAAACACUAUAAUCUUUUUGAUGCAGUCCAAAAUCCCUUUGCCGUUUUUAGCUGCUGCAUCACACUGUUGGCUCACGUUCAACUUGUUGACCACAAAGACUGUAAACAGAGUUUACAACUCUUUUUUGACAUUGCCAUGCAGGGAGGACUAUUUCAACAUUUUGAAUAAACUGGCUCUCAUUAUAACCUUAUUGUGCCAUUUAAUCACCAAUGUAAAUGCACUCAAUUAUGGUGCAUUACACAGUAGAAUUAAUGCAGUUUGACACCACUUUAAUUGCUAUGGAAUCAUGGGAGUUGUGGUUGGCAGAGAAGGUCUUUAGCCUGGGCCAAAGAGUGCUAGUGCCUCAACAAACUACAGACCCCAGGAUUCCAUAGCACUGAUCAAUGGCACUUAAAUUAGUGCCAAACUGCAUUGAUUCUGCAGUGUAGGUGUAGUCUUAACCUUCAAGUGAUCACUAUAGUACGAUUAAUUGUAUUUAUAAUUUGCAAGUCCAUGAAAGUUCAUAAGGAAAGGUUGCCCUCUUACUAGAGGGAACUGCACAGGAAGGAGGGACAAUAUCUGCAUUCUACGACUGCUGCACAAAGAAAGGGUUUGGGGAGUACAGUAGAGUCUCACUUAUCCAACAUAAACGGGUCGGCAGAAUGUUGGAUAAGCAAAUAUGUUGGAUAAUAAGGAGGGAUUAAGGAAAAGCCUAUUAAACAUCAAAUUACAUUAUGAUUUUACAAAUUAAGCACCAAAACAUGUUAUACAACAAAUUUGACAGAAAAGGUAGUUUCAAUACGGAGUAAUGCUAUGUAGUAAUUACCAUAUUUACGAAUUUAGCACCAAAAUAUCACAAUGUAUUGAAAACACUGACUACAAAAAUGCGUUGGAUAAGCGAGUGUUGGAUAAGUGAGACUUUGAAUAGCAAGGAGCCUCAGAUAGAAACAACUUUCAGGUCUUCUGGUUUUGUGGGUGCAAAGACCCAGUGAAAUUCUAUGUUGCCCCAAGAUCCAGUGUAUUUACACAAACCCAAUGAAUAGGAACAUCCUUAACCCACUCCAGUCAUGCCAUGUGCAUGACUGUGCACAUUGCAGUCAUGCAAGCCAUGCGGCUCAAGAGGACCCCUGGAUUCUCUAAGCAGUGAUUGAUAGGGAGAUGCAGGAAGAGCAGGGUUACCUUCAGAGUGGCUCUUUGUUCUCCAGUGAGGAAGCGGCCAUGGCAAAGAUGGCCAUGUGCUCAGAGAUUACAUUUCUUUCUUCCCUCCCUCAUGUAAAAUAUUCUCUUGGAAUCUAGGUCCUCCAGUGCAACUCUGGUCAACUUUCUCCAAUUGUGCUGGAAGACCUAGAAAUCACCAGAGAGGUGUUCUCUCAUCUUCAUAAAUUGUGGACUGCCUGCUUUUUGUUUGUCUUGCCUUCAGUUCUACCCAUUCAUCUUGGUUACUAAUGAAUGUGGUGUCGAAAAGGCAUAAAGCAAGUUUCCCCUUGCAGCUUCUUCCUAAUCUAGGAGUUAUUCCUACUGGAUUUGCUGUGUGGGGGACAUUACUAUUGGUCACUACACCUUUGUGUAAAGUCUGUUGUCAAUCUUUCUAACCAUUCAUAAAGUUUACUAAAAGUACAUUGUGAAAAUUUCUGCUUGCAGGAUUAAAUUGUGUAGCACGCCAGCUGCAGAACAUUCUAAUAGAGUAUAUUACUGCACAUACCAAAUUAUUUUCUCAUUAAAGAUGACUGAGUCAUUACCUUAUUCCUUUUUCCAG